GAUGAACGCUGGCGGCGUGCCUAAUACAUGCAAGUCGAGCGAACAGACGAGGAGCUUGCUCCUCUGACGUUAGCGGCGGACGGGUGAGUAACACGUGGAUAACCUACCUAUAAGACUGGGAUAACUUCGGGAAACCGGAGCUAAUACCGGAUAAUAUAUUGAACCGCAUGGUUCAAUAGUGAAAGACGGUUUUGCUGUCACUUAUCGAUGGAUCCGCGCCGCAUUAGCUAGUUGGUAAGGUAACGGCUUACCAAGGCAACGAUGCGUAGCCGACCUGAGAGGGUGAUCGGCCACACUGGAGCUGAGACACGGUCCAGACUCCUACGGGAGGCAGCAGUAGGGAAUCUGCCGCAAUGGGCGAAAGCCUGACGGAGCAACGCCGCGUGAGUGAUGAAGGUCUUCGGAUCGUAAAACUCUGUUAUUAGGGAAGAACAAAUGUGUAAGUAACUAUGCACGUCUUGACGGUACCUAAUCAGAAAGCCACGGCUAACUACGUG
rnacentral:rRNA from 1 species